rnacentral:rRNA from 1 species
UACGGAGGGGGCUAGCGUUGUUCGGAAUUACUGGGCGUAAAGCGCGCGCAGGCGGACCUGCAAGUCGGGGGUGAAAGCCCGAGGCUCAACCUCGGAACUGCCUUCGAUACUGCGGGGCUCGAGUCCGGGAGAGGUGAGUGGAAUUCCUAGUGUAGAGGUGAAAUUCGUAGAUAUUAGGAAGAACACCAGUGGCGAAGGCGGCUCACUGGCCCGGUACUGACGCUGAGGCGCGAAAGCGUGGGGAGCAAACAGG